rnacentral:tRNA from 1 species
GCGGGCGUAGCUCAGGGGUAGAGCACAACCUUGCCAAGGUUGGGGUCGAGGGUUCAAAUC